GGUAUAAACUGCCUUUAAUCCCGCCUUGCUGCUCCAUUGGCUAGAAUGACAAUUGGUCACAUGGUGCAUUCAGCCAAUCACUGCAUCUGGAGUGGUUAUUCAGGCCUGCUCCAGCUUUCCCAGUCAGGUGUGAGGGGGAGAGCUGGAGACAAAGGAGCUACAGAUCUGCAUACCCAGUGAGCUUGAAGCCAAGAAGUUGCCUUUCCCUGAACUAUUUAUGGAAUUGUCCAGGUGAUCCCUUUUUAGGGUUAAAAGGAUGGCGAGCUUUUCACAACUGGCUGGGCCAGGAGAACCUGAUAUUCCCUCCAUGCUGAUCUGGUAGGAGGCUGAUGGUCUGUAGCAUUUUCCCCGUCCUUCUCAUCAUACCGACACACAAUUCAUGAUUCAUCUCUUCUCCGUUGGACACAAUUUGCGCUUGGACAUUUUUCACCUAAAAUAACUGGACAACUCAGACAUGGUGCUGACUGGUGGGGAAAUGCAGGAGUUUUGUGCACAUUCAUGAAGAUCUACUGCAGUGUUGUAUAUAUUUAUUGUAUUUAUAUUGUUUGGGUUUAUGUAUGUUUUGUGGUGUUUAUUUUUUCCCUUUGCUUUAAAAAUACAUAAUAUUGAAAGCAGUUGUUCCUUUGUAUUGAUUUUUCAUUAAUCACUGACAGCAGCUCCU